UUCAACCUGCUUUGCCCCUUUUAACUCCGUGCUUAAUUUAUUCUGUAUUAUUUAUAGGCAGGUAGGUUUGCACAUUCAUAAAACGUUCAGUUUCCUGUUAUGUCUAGAGAACUGGUAGGAGGUAUGGCAAAUAUAUUCGUAGCAGCUCAAAUCCCCUGUGUGGUUUCCAUUGAGUGAAAUAUUCAUCACUUCCUGUCCUAAACUCAGUGAAGCACUGCCAAUGUUUUAACAAGGGGCUCCCACAGAAAUGUCUCCCUCUUCUCUCUUUUUACCUCUGCCUAUGUCUUUCUUUCCUUCCUGCCAUCCAUUCACCUAUUCACCCAUCCAUCCAUCAGUCUCUGAAGGGGUCAGUCAUCACUUAUCCCCACUAAAGCCAGGUAAGCGGUGUUGCUCGAGAGAGUUCCAGUCCAUGUUUAUGCAGUUGCAGGUGGAAGAAACGGAAAGAGGGUCCCUUCUACCUCCUUUCUUCUGGGGAACCUGAGCAAGAACCCCACUUUCAGCCAUUUUCUCGUGCACUUGUUGAAAAUGAAGAGGAAUGUUGCUGGGACAUGCUAAAGAGAGCUGCCAUUUGCUUUGGAGGUACCUUCAGACCAAGGUCCAGGAGCCAUCAGUCGUCCUAGAUAACAUCUCAGACAUUGAGAAGGUCAUCACUGAGGCAGUCAGGAAUAGGUUUUUCCCUACUUUUCACAGUGCCUAACCUGUUGGGCUGCACGGCCUCCUGUGACACUCUCUGUAAUCGAAUCCCACUCGAGCUAUUUUCUCUGCUCAGUGUGGGAAAAUUCCGUACCAUAAUGACGGUUAAUAAUAGAAAGUUCUUAUUUUAUUUGAAAGUUUGCCGAAGAGCAACAGAACCAUUUCCGAUCCUCUUUUCUGAGAAUAUGAUUCCCUCAAUCAUGUAUUAUUAUUCUGGGAGGGGGAGGCACUGGGGGAACAGGAGGGGGGCAUAGGCCUUCGGCAAUGAAUGGCUGGGCUUCUGAAAUAAAUGAUUGUCACCUCCUUGUUCAUAUGCAUGAAUCAGCGGCGCCUGUCCAGAUGCGGAGGGGAGCCAACACACCCCGUGCACCAUCCCUUGCAGAGCUUCGAGCUGCUUAAAUUUAAUUUAGUUUCCUUUUCCUUACACAGUUGUACUAAGAAGCCACAAUAGAAGCAAAGAGGAAAUCAAAUCUGGAAAAUAUGCAUUCAUCUUGAAAGGCAUCAGAAAUGUGUUGACAAUACAAUAAAACACGCACGUGAAAAAGCAACAUCGAUAGGCCUCCUCAAAUUCUUCUACUCAGUAAUCCCAGCUUAGAUCAGAUUGUCUGGCAACCUCUUUGAAAGUUGUAAUACCUCUUCCAUGAAUAAACAGGCAUGGUUUAGAUGCCAGCUCUCUGCAUGGUGAGAUUUCCUACUUUUUCUUCUUAAUUUCAAUCAGAAUUGUGGUGCUCUGCUUAUAAAGACCAUCUUUUGGAAUUGGAUACCUAAAGCCCCCAAAUUUGUUGAACUUCCGUAAGAUUUGACUAGUACAAAGAGCAGUGGACAGAUGGAACGAUACGUAAAUAUUAUGAAGGGAACAAUGACUUGAUGAUUAGAUGUUUAGAAGUAUAUAUAUUUCUCUCUAUAUAGGAGAGAUAGGUGCUCUGGCUAGAAGAAUAGCUGGCUAGAAUGAAAGGGGAUGGAGAGCUCCAUAAAUCUGACUUUGUAGAAAGCUUCAGGCAGAUUAAACGCUUGUGUGCUAGGAAAGCACUGUGUCUUGAAAUUAGUAAGACAAUAAGAACAAAAGCACUUCCUCCGGUGUGUUUUCUGUCCCCUCAGUUAGGUGGAUCCUCACAAAAUACUUUCUGUAUCAACUUCAACUUUAUCCAUACAUUUUUGAUCUACUCAAUGUCUUCAUGGACAAAAUGAGGAAGAGAAAAUGUAUUUGGACAUCCCUCUGAGCUAAAAAUAGCAUCUAACACUGUUAUCUAUUUUGGGUGAAGAAAGAAGGAAGAUUACCUCAGGUACCCUUACAGAGAAGAUAGGUGAGGGAAUUUACCUCUGCAAAAUUCUUCAACGAGCUCAAAUGAUGGGCGAGUCGAACAUUUUAUUUUCAAGUAGCAGUUUAAUGACUUUUCCUACUUGAUCUGUGAAAAGCAAGCAAUAAAAGCCAAUUCAGGCAUGUGUUGUCUCCAGACAGCGUGCCAGAGGGAUGCUGCAUUUCCUUACAAUCAUUUCCUCCUUAAAUGACUGACACCUCUGUGGGAGUGUUUAUAGAGAUCCGAAAUGGCAAGAGGCUGAAAGGCACUGACUUAGAACACACACCUAAGCCUCUAUCUGCACUGGAAGCUACGGUGAGCCUCUUGCAACCCAGACAAUAUACACCACCAAUCUCUUUGGCCAGUACCCAGCUUGGAUGUGGGGAACUCCUGGAGUUGGUGAGCUUUCUGCAGUGGGUAUGAAGUUAUUCUUUCAUUCUAUGCCUGAGCUCAGAAAAGAUAAAUGAAGAGUUUUUUUUUUUUUUUUUUUUUUUUUUUUUCCCAAAUGAAGCAGCCAGGAACUGAAAUUCUUCUUUUUAAGGACUCCUCAUGGGAGGAGACAACUGAAGUGCUGUAGAGAAGCCAGGACUUCCAGACUUCAGGGAAAACUGAGAGUGCUCAGUUCCAGGUUGCUGUAAUGGUUUAAUGGUUGCUGGGACAGGCAGGAGGAACAAGCUCCUUUCUGGUCUUACCCAUAUCGCAGAAUCACAAAAAA